rnacentral:lncRNA from 1 species
CCAUCAAAAACCUGCAAUAAAGUGAUAUAAACACUGAUAAAUGCAGAACAUCAGGAUCUUCAUGUUUUUCUCCAUAAAACAGUGUCAUUUGAGUAUUUUUAAAGGAGGGGUUUUGCAAGGAGGUUUGUGUCGUUAGGAACAACACCCAUAUAUGGAGAAGGCUUGAUUUGUCAUUUUUGGAAUGAUGCCUGAAGGACAGCCCACCAAGACCUUCCAACAAGAAAGGGAAAUGUUAAUUAAAUUAAAUCAGAAUUUGUGUACUGUUUCAUUGUUGAAAAGUGUAACUAAGUGAUGGGGCUCAUGAAUUACAGGAAGCGGACCAGAUGCUGACGUGGACGUUCCAGACAUCCUGGACCUCUGUGGGAACACGGGUAAAGACUGUCUCAUCCGUGUCUUUGAUGUCCACAUACCGGUCAAUAGUGACAAUUGGUUCUUUCAUUUGUUGCUGAAACCUCAUCAUCAGGUUUGCGAGCCCUAUCGCUUAACGGUCUUACUGUUCUAAAUUUUAUGUUAAAUAAAAGGGUAGUAAAUUCA